AAGUGGAGCUUGCUCCAUUAUCUUAGCGGCGGACGGGUGAGUAACACGUGGGCAACCUGCCCUGCAGAUCGGGAUAACUCCGGGAAACCGGUGCUAAUACCGAAUAGUUUGCGGCCUCUCAUGAGGCUGCACGGAAAGACGGUUUCGGCUGUCACUGCAGGAUGGGCCCGCGGCGCAUUAGCUAGUUGGUGAGGUAACGGCUCACCAAGGCCACGAUGCGUAGCCGACCUGAGAGGGUGAUCGGCCACACUGGGACUGAGACACGGCCCAGACUCCUACGGGAGGCAGCAGUAGGGAAUCUUCCGCAAUGGACGAAAGUCUGACGGAGCAACGCCGCGUGAGUGAAGAAGGUUUUCGGAUCGUAAAACUCUGUUGUGAGGGAAGAACAAGUACCAACUAACUACUGGUACCUUGACGGUACCUCACCAGAAAGCCACGGCUAACUACGUGCCAGCAGCCGCGGUAAUACGUAGGUGGCAAGCGUUGUCCGGAAUUAUUGGGCGUAAAGCGCGCGCAGGCGGUCCUUUAAGUCUGAUGUGAAAGCCCACGGCUCAACCGUGGAGGGUCAUUGGAAACUGGGGGACUUGAGUGCAGAAGAGGAAAGUGGA
rnacentral:rRNA from 1 species